CCUCAGCUGAAUCCAUAAAUAUCAUAGAAUUGCAGCUUCUACCAAGUAGGUUCAUUCUUAGCUCCAUGCACCUCAUCCAAAAGUGGAUUAUAUCAUCAUUGGCUCACUAAAACCAUUUAUUAUGAACAUAGGAACAAAAUUGAAAGGGUU